rnacentral:rRNA from 1 species
UACGUAGGGUGCAAGCGUUAAUCGGAAUUACUGGGCGUAAAGCGUGCGCAGGCGGCUUUGCAAGACAGAUGUGAAAUCCCCGGGCUCAACCCGGGAACUGCGUCCGAUACUGGAAGGCUUGAAUCCGGGAGAGGGAAGUGGAAUUCCCGGUGUAGUGGUGAAAUGCGUAGAUAUCGGGAGGAACACCAGUGGCGAAGGCGACUUCCUGGCCUGUUCUUGACGCUGAGGCGCGAAAGCGUGGGUAGCAAACAGG